GUGAGUCAUCGAAUCUUUGAACGCACCUUGCGCCCUUUGGCUAUUCCGAAGGGCAUGCCUGUUUGAGUAUCAUGAACACCUCAACUCUCAUGGCUUGCCGUGAUGUGCUUGGACUUUGGGGGUCUUGUUGGCCUGUGGGCCAGCUCCUCUUAAAUGAAUCAGCUUGCCGGUGUCUGGUGGCGUCACAGGUGUGAUAACUAUCUACGCUUGUGGUUUCCCACUAGGGUAACCUUCAGCAAUGAAGGUUCACCGGAGCUUAUAAAUGUCUCUCCUCAGCGAGGACAGAUUUUGACCAUUUGAUCUCAAAUCAGGUAGGACUACCCGCUGAACUUAA
rnacentral:rRNA from 1 species